UCCAGAAGGAAGCCUAGCCAAGGGAUGGACGGGAGGAAAUUCGGCGGAUGGGACCACCCCAGUGGAAGUGCUGCCACAGACAGGGAAGCCGGAAGCAGGCAUGAUCUCGAGGUCAACUGUGAGGUGGCUGCAGCCUAGGAGUCCUGUCUCCUUAAUGGACUGCCUUCGUCUCCCUUGUGAGAUGCUGUGUGUGCCUGCAAUUCUGGUGGCUAACACAGGAGGAUGUUUGGAUAUCAGCAAGAGGUACAUUUCAUUGUGUGGAACAGAUCCGUGUGAGCCAGCUGUCCCUUGCAUUGUGAAGAGCUACCCAUCUAUGUCAA